AAUUUAUGUAUAUGUAGAAAUGAAUACACUAAUAAUUAUUUAGAUUUUAAGCAAAAAUACUCACAUACUUUUAUAGAUACAAACAUAUACCUAUUUUUCAUCUACCUAUCUCUCAGACUUCCAUGUGCUGACUGAAAAUGUUUGCAUCCAGUAAACAUUUUGAUUAGAUAAUUUUUUAAGGAUUGUAGAUAAUGAAGAUGGCUUUAGAUUUUUGAAAGUUUAACGUAGAACUUUAACAUUCAAACCUGGCAUUCUACUCACUCUCUUUUUGGAGCUAAUGGAAUUCAGCAGUUAACAUUUUAUGAAAAUGUAUGAGGAAGUGCCAAGACAAAGAAAGUUGUGUUUAUACAUAAUCCACCCUUGACUUCCACAAAGCUUUGAUAUAAUGGGCAACAUGUAAGACUCCUCCAUAGACUCAGGGGCAAAGAAGUUAAGACUAAAGCCAAAUGGCCAGGCAUAAAAAAGGUAGUGUGUGUGUCUAAGUGGAAGGGAGAUGGGAGAUGUUCUCAAAAGCAGAGAGGGUCUCCAGGAAUAGUUUACUUUUUAAUAAUAAUACCAUAAUGAUCCAAUGGGAGGAAAUAGCAAAGAGGAAGGAGAGUCAAUGAUACUAAACUACAAAAGCUCAGGCCUAAACUCAUGAAAUGCAAAUGUACUUUUUUCCCCCAAAGCACCUGAGGAAUAAAGUCAAAAAAAGAGUUAAGAUCAUGCGUUAGUGGCUGGAACACAUGAGACAGUUUUAUGUAUCUUUGACUUACCACAGCUCUAGGCUUCUAAGCCAUUCUAAGACACUCUUUUUGAAGGGAAACACUACAUUAAAUGUGCACGUUGACUCUAGAACAUAUUCUGGUUGCAGAAAUGUAAAAAUAUGUGUGUUGGGGGUGGGGGUAGUGCAUCUUAAAAUUGAGGAAAUAAGGUAAAUAUUUUCCUCGAACCAUUUAGAAUAAGAGAGAAGUAUUUGGUGAAUAGCCUCAAAUGAUAACAAGGCUUAACAGAGAGCAGAACACUCAGUGAGGUACAAUUAAACAAGCAGUUAAAUAAUCUAACAUACAAGUGCUUAAACAAACAAUCACAGACUGUCCUGUCACUGCUCAGUGUGCAGAGCAUGAGUCAGAAGAAAUUAUUUCAGCGCCAUUGAAAGGAAAAGCCAUGUUGUGCUCAAUUCUGGUUGACUUACUGCAAAUAAGGAUAUUAGAGAAAAUGAGACGUUUAUGGCAGAAGGUAGAUAAAGGUAUUCAGUGACUCAAGGAAAUUAAUUAUAGAGGAAAAAUUAAAAAAACUAGGUGUGCCUGUGAUGACCUCAUUGAGGUAAGCUAGGAUGACAGCUGUUGCAAGGGUGGAUACCCUGAAGGGAUCUGCAUUGAUUACAGCUCUAAAGGAAAGCAUACUAGUCCUCAAGAGAGGCAGGCAUGAGCAAAAUUUAAUUGAUAGCUCUCAUCCAUCCCUUGAUAUUAGUUAAUAUAGGAAAGAAACAGUUCUGAUAAGUGAUUAAGAUGAAUGCAAACAAUCUAAAUAUGGACCUGAUUAAGAAUUCAGACAGAAAAAUAAACUAUUAUGGAGGCACAUCUUUUAACAUUUACUUCAUCUGGACUUUUGCUGACCCUGAAAAAAUUCUUUACUUAAGGAGAGGGGAAAAAAUGUACCCUCUUAUUGUCUAGAACUGGUGUCUGAAUUCAGGCUCUAAGUUGACUUUAUAUCCAACAAAGUUUUAGUAUCAGGCAAGUUUUUUUUUCUUUGUUUAUUCCUGGGAUUAAAAUAGUACACAAACUGACAAAAGUAGUUCAGACACCACAUGUCAGCUGUGACACACCACGCUGUGAUUCUCAUACUCAUCAACCCCUAAAUAACUUUGAGACUAGAACUGUGUGACGUCCCUCAGGUGUCUGCUCCCUCUCUCAUUUUAGUUAUUUGCUUCUAGAGCACAGUGAUUUCAGCUUUCAGUGGAAGAAAACAGAAGGGAAAAAAAAAGUGCCCCAACUUUAUAAAAACCCAGAAUAAACAUGAACAAUAGGUAAGGUAAACACUCAUCUGACUUAAGAGGUUGAUCAAGAUGGCUCUGCGGAAUAUUUUUAUGAUGGUUUGCCAACUGAGAUGGUUUGCCAAACCUUGGCAUUCAAGAGGCAGAUUUAGGCGGUAUUAAAUAAAAGUAUCGGGACAGCCCAGAAUUGACCCAGAAAAUAACUCAGUGAAACACAAAUGCUCUUAAAACCUCACCAUCCUGUGAUUGAGAGUAAGGUCACAUUUAACAGUAAUGGCUGAUAUUCCUGGAGUAAAGAAGGAUUUUCUUAAAACAACAUUACAUAAUCUAGUUCCUAAAAAGUUUAAACCUUUAUAUAACUAAAGGCAAUAUUAACAGAGUUGAAGUGAGUGAAAAAUGAAAAAAUACUAAAAUAUAGUUUAAACCUAAACAAAAAGGUUAUUAUCUUAAUAUAAAAGGCUACUAUCUUCAUCUAUAGAAGUUCUUGCAAAAAAAGAAAAGAUUGAUAAUUGCAGGAAUAAAUGGACUACUGAUAAAAAUAAAACAGCUGUUUAAUUAGCAAUACAAAAGAAAACAUUGAAGUAAUAUGCCCUACCUCUUAUGAAAAUAAAUUGUUAGUACUCUGAACUUGGCAAGAUGCAGAGGGAAUGAGAAACUCUCUUAGAUGAGAGAUGAGAAAUGAGGUUUUAAAUUGGAAACUUUCUGGUGGGUGAUUUGGUAAGGUAAAUAAAAAAAUUUUAAUGUGUAUGUUUUGCUGAGCAAUUCCACUCCAGGGAAUAUAUUCCAAUGAAGGAGUUGGAUAAAUACACAAAGAUUAUGUGUACAUAUGUAAUAAUUUUACAAUAAUAAAAUAAUACAGGAAGGUUGAAAAUAACUGUAAUGUUUAUUAGUAAAGUUUCAUAAAUAAAGCCUGGUAGUUCCAUAAAAUGAAAAACUGUAAAGACAUCAAAAGGAUAAAGUGAUUAUUAUGUAGAGUUUUAAAAAUAUAAGUGUGGUUCAACACUAAGAAAUUGAGUAGUAUAAUUUCCUAUGUUAACAUUAUAAAAGAGUAUAUGAGCAUACAUAUAAAUAUUUGUGAUAGACCCAACAAUGGCCCUCCAAAGGAAAUCCAGGAAAUGUGAACAUGGAGGCAGAGAUUUAAAUGAUGCAGCCAAAAACCAAGGAAUGCCAGCAGCCACCAGAAGCUAGAAGAGGCCAGGAACAGACCUUCCCCUGGGCACUCCAGAGGAAUGCAGCCCUGUCCACACCUUGAUGUCAACACAGUGGAACCACUUCUGGACUUCUGGCCUCCAGGACUGUGAGAUAAUAAAUUUCUAUUGCUUUAAGCCACCAAGUUUCUGGUAAUUUGUGAAAAGCACAGGAAACAAAUACAGAUUUUGGUAAUGAAAAUGUGAUGCUGCUGUAAUACAUAAAAAUGUGGAAGUGGCUUUGGAAUUUGAUAAUGGGCAGAAUCUGGAAGAAUUUUGAGGGGCAUGACAGAUAAAGCCUAGAUUGUUGUAAACAGGCUGUUGGUAGAAAAAUGGUUGCUGAGGAUGCUGCUGGUGAGGACUAAUAAGGAAGUGAGGAGCGUGAUAGAGAAAGCCUGUAUUAUCCUAGAGAAUACAUAUAUUGUCAUAAAGAGGAUGUUAAUAGAAAGAUGAAUGUUAAAGCUGAUGCUAGUGCAGACUUAGAAGGAAAUGAGACAUAUGAUUUUGUAAACUCCGGGAAAGGGGAUCCUUACUAUGUAGUGGCAGAAAGUCUAGCUGAAUUGUGUUCUACAGUUUUGUAUGGAAAGCAGAACUUAGAAGCAACAUCCUUUGAUAUUUAGCUGAGGAUAUUUCCAAGAAGAAUAUUGAUGGUGAAGCCAGGUUUCUUCUUGCUUCUUGUAGUAAAAUGUGAGAAGAGAUAAACUGACAGGAAAACUGUUAAAUAAAGAGGGACUAGGGCUUGAUGAUAUUGGAAAUUCUCAACCUAUCAGACUGCAAAGGACAGAAAAAGUAGUAUAUUCACUGUAAGGAAGGUGUGCUCUGGAGAGAAGGCCCAGGGUGUGGCUGGACAACAUUUUGCUGAAGAGAUUACGUGAGUGGCUCAUGAUUCCUCUCAACUAUCUGCAGAAGUGAAGAAUGGAGAUGGGGUGACCCAGGAAAGAUCUGUGGGAGACCUUCUUGUCUAAUUGUGUGAAUUUUAUGAUAUAUACAGGAGACCCACAGGUUUUUGAGAAUGUUAUACCAACAUUACCAGUUAUAUAAACACUGCCAGCUUGAAUCAAAAGGAAUAAAGGAUGAAUGGAGGAAGAUUGUUUUACUCCCCAAAUUCUACAAGCAAGAAACUGGCUGAUGAAACUACUCAGCUGCAAAUGUGUGUUACCCUUCAAGGAAAAGAAGGGAAAACCUUGGCAUCCAGUGAUGAUGAAUCAAUGCUGCUGACAGAUGCAUCGUGUUGGGAUCCCAAUCAUCUAAUUCUUCCAUCAACAGAAAUGACAGGUGCCUAUGUUAAAAAGGGAAGCUGUGAGCAUAAACCUUCAAAGACCUACAGAGCUCCAGCUCCAAAUCUGUGAGAGUGCAUUUGGCAGAAUCUGAACAAGCAACACAAUGAUUAGAGGGUUUUUGUUUUUUUGUUUGUUUUUAACAGUUUUGUUACAAUGUUUCCACCCCAAAAUGUACCUGGUACCAAAUAUACUCCCUGGAAUCUUCACUACGAUCAAGAUAAUGAACCUAUUCAUCACCCCCAGAAGUUUCCUCGUGCCCCUUUGUAUUACUUUUGUUUGUAAUAGAACCUUGUUCUAGGUAUAAGAAUAAUGCUACAGCACAGUCAAGGUGGAGAAGAGCCAUUUUGGCCUCUUGGUCGAAGCAUCCAUUGUAACAAAACAACUCAGCCUGAUGUCCCAUGAUCAUGAAAGGAGCUCAUGGUAGGACUGAAUGAACACGGUGUCUUACAAAUAUUUAGGCUGAAUCAUGAGGACCAGGGCCCAAGCCUUUAGUAUAGGCCUACUGCUUGAAUAGGAAGGCCUUAUACAACCAAAAUGACCUAGAUUUCCAGCACAUCUUCCUGAUGCUCUGCAAUAUUUAUCUUUUUCUUGGAAGAGCUCAUUAGCAAGAUGGAAGGUGUUCAGGUUACUCACGAAUGUACAUAUUAUAGACUUCUCUUUAUGAGUAUAUGUGUUAGUUUAUUUUUGCAUUGCUACAAAUACCCGAGGCUUGGUAAUUUAUAAAGAAAAGAGGUUUAAUUAGCUCACAGUUCUGUAGGCUGUAUAGGAAGCAUGGUGCUGGCAUCUGCUCAGCUUCUGGUAGGGCCAUAGGGAGGUUUUACUCAUGGCAGAAGGCCAAGGGGGAAAAAGGCAUGGUGAGAGAGGGAGCAAGAGAGAGAGAAGGGGGAGGUCCCAGACUCUCUGAACAACUAGGUCUAUUGUGAACUGAGUGAGAACUCACUCAUCACCAAGGAGAUGGUGCUAAGCCAUUCAUGAGGGAUCUGCCCCCAUCAUCCAAUACUUCCCACCAGGCCCCACCUCCAACAUUGAGGAUCACAUUUCAACAUGAGAUUUGAAAGGGACACACCUCCAAAUCCUAUCAGUAUAUGAAUAAUGUUGAAAUAUACUUUUCUGGGGGAAUAUAGGGGAAGUAGGGCCAGUGGUUUGCUCAUAAAAAAAUUUCAAAAAUUGUGAAAGCCAUCAUUAAAAAUUAAUUUAUAUAUAAACCUGUACUAAAUAAAAGAUCUUAAAAACAAAGUUUAUAAAUACUCAAAACUCAUUACUUCAUAAUUAUUUUACUACAUUUUACUAAUAUCUAUGCUUUUAAGUUUGUGUCUGUUGUGUCUGUAUGGGAGAAAUAUUCUACGGUGGUCUGCUGUUGUCAUUAUAUAUCUUUUCUCAGUUCAGUGUAUUCAGUGAUGUCACCCUGGUAGCUUGAAAUUAGCCAUGAUGGGAAUAGUUACACCAUGGAAACUGGUGAGCACUACAAAUAAAGGCUUGAUUUAUUGUUUUUUGAUUGUUGAUUGCCUCGACCUUAGACAGUUAUACAGGAAAUGCACAUUAAACUUAAAUGUAUGCCUUGACUGUAACCAGCACGGUGUGAAUGGACCAAAAAAUGAGGAAAUAUUCUUCAAGUAUUCAAAAACAAUUCUCUGAUAGAGCAAAGAAGUCACUUCAUCAUUGAGAAACUACUGAAGUUCCUAUAUUUAUCUUCAUUGUUUCACUUUCUUGUUAACAUAAAAAAAUGUGUUAACCAAGAUUUAUGUCAGAACUAUACUGUGGCUCAUCAAUUGCAGCCAUAGGUUGGCUGUGAAUGCAACAGUUUAGUAAAAACAAAAACAUUCUGUGAGAUUCAAUUAGCUAUAUAUAAUUUACAGUAACAAAUAUUGUAUAUAUUAUUAUUUGCAAAUUGUAUGCCAAGAAUCCUUCAUAUUAGUCACAAUUUAUAAUAAUUGUAUGUAUAUGUCCAUCUAUCUAUGCCUAUAUUGUUUUUUUUUUAAAUUAUUAUUAUACUUUAAGUUUUAGGGUACAUGUGCACAAUGUGCAGGUUAGUUACAUAUGUAUACAUGUGCCAUGCUGGUGCGCUGCACCCACUAACUCGUCAUCUAGCAUUAGGUAUAUCUCCCAAUGCUAUUCCGCCCCCCUCCCCCCACCCCACAACAGUCCCCAGAGUGUGAUGUUCCCCU
rnacentral:lncRNA from 10 species